UACGAGGGGGGCAAGCGUUGUUCGGAAUUAUUGGGCGUAAAGGGUGCGUAGGCGGGUCUUUUAAGUCAGGGGUGAAAUCCUGGAGCUCAACUCCAGAACUGCCUUUGAUACUGAGGAUCUUGAGUUCGGGAGAGGUGAGUGGAACUGCGAGUGUAGAGGUGAAAUUCGUAGAUAUUCGCAAGAACACCAGUGGCGAAGGCGGCUCACUGGCCCGAUACUGACGCUGAGGCACGAAAGCGUGGGGAGCAAACAGG
rnacentral:rRNA from 1 species